rnacentral:lncRNA from 1 species
CCGGCUGCCUCGGGAAGAGUUCGUUGAAACAACUUUGAACCGUGUUUUCCGCGCGGGGUCCUGGUGCGCUGACCAGAUCGUGGACUUGUUCACACUUACCUGCAAUUUGAGACGAAUUGUCCUGGGUAAUUUAGUGAGGAUCAGCGCCCCUGAAGAAUUCUGGUAGAAAUAUACCGUCUUGUUAGACAACUUCUGAAACAGCAAAUCUCUUUAUUUAGGGAAAUUUAGUGCACUUAAACUAAAUAUUCUCGUUUGCCAUAUUUUGUCUCAUGUAAAACUUAAGAGAAGCAGCCAAGGAUCUUUUUGAGGUGGUUGAAGAAUAACAGUCAAUUUGUUCCUCU